GAUGAACGCUGGCGGCGUGCUUAAUACAUGCAAGUCGAGCGAAGCACUUUAACGGAAUUCUCCGGAAGGAAGGUAAAGUGACUGAGGCGGGCGUACGGGCGAAGGACGCCGUAGGUAACCGUGCUAGACAGGGAUACAGUUAGAAUGGCUGCUAAUACCGCAUAAGCACACCAGGGCCGCAUGGCCCGGUGUAGAAAACUCCGGUGGUAUAAGAUCGGACCCGCGUCUGAUUAGCGUGGUUGGUAGGGGUAACGCCCACCAAGGCGACGAUCAGUAGCCGGCCUGAGAGGGUGAACGGCCACAUUGGGACUGAGACACGGCCCAG
rnacentral:rRNA from 1 species